rnacentral:rRNA from 1 species
UUCGUAGGUGGCCAACUUAGUCAGACGUGAAAUCCCUCAGCUUAACUGGGGAACUGCGUCUGAUACUGGAUGGCUUGAGUGCAGGAGAGGAACGCGGAAUUCCAGGUGUAGCGGUGAAAUGCGUAGAUAUCUGGAGGAACACCGGUGGCGAAGGCGGCGUUCUGGACUGCAACUGACACUGAGGAACGAAAGCCAGGGGAGCAAACG